UACGUAGGGUGCAAGCGUUGUCCGGAAUUAUUGGGCGUAAAGAGCUUGUAGGCGGUUUGUCGCGUCUGCUGUGAAAUUUCGGGGCUCAACCCCCGAACUUGCAGUGGGUACGGGCAGACUAGAGUGUGGUAGGGGAGACUGGAAUUCCUGGUGUAGCGGUGAAAUGCGCAGAUAUCAGGAGGAACACCCGUGGCGAAGGCGGCUCUCUGGGACGGUACUGACGCUGAGACGCGAAAGCGUGGGGAGCGAACAGG
rnacentral:rRNA from 1 species